UUUCAUUACUUUGUGAGAAGUCCUUGCUUUGGAUUCAUGGGGGUCAUCCAUUCUUGCCACCACCUUCUGCUAAUUUAUUUCAUAAACAACAUCAACUUUCAGUACUUUGUGAGGUACUUUGGCCAACAAAUUCAAACUCACGGGUGCCAGUGAAUAGAAGUCUGAUUGAGGUUGUUGCAUCAUCAAAUCCCAAACUUCGCUUUCUUGCAAUGCAAGGUGUUUCCAUGUCAUUAUAUAUUAUGGGCAGAUGUAAUGAUAUUGAAGAUGAUGUCCCUGUUGUUCAGCAGUUGGAGGAGAUGCAUUAGAUGCUUUCGGAAAGAUUUAAACAAGAAAAACACAAAUUGGAGGCAAAUUUGGGUUUUAGUGAGCAUCUAAGUUCUGAGGCGAAUUCAGCUGCUUCUUGUAUCUUCUGCCCUGAAAUAUUGUGUAGGAAGUCCGGGUUUGAUAGCUGGCAAGACACUCUUCCUUUAAUUGACAGAACAAGUCUUUUCCUUGAUAUAAUGUUACUUCAGAAGCUCUCAUCUUUCCUCUUGCUUGAUCCCAAAAGAUUACAGCUGGAUUUGGGUACUGUAACCAACCUGCUGGAGUCUGGCUUGAAAUUU